rnacentral:rRNA from 1 species
UCAAAAACAUGUCCUAUUGAAUAUAAUUUUAGGUUUGACCUGCCCCCUGAAUUUUAAAUGGCCGCGGUAUUUUGACCGUGCUAAGGUAGCAUAAUAAUUAGUUUCUUAAUUAGAAGCUGGUAUGAAUGGUUUUAUGAAAAAGUAACUGUCUCUAUUUAAUUUUAAUUGAAUUUUAUUUUUGAGUAAAAAAGCUUAAAUAAUUUUGAAAGACGAGAAGACCCUAUAGAGUUUUAUAAUAAAAUAUUUUAUAAUUUUUUAGAAUUUUAAAUUUUUAAAUUAUAUUUUUUAUUUAAUUGGGGUGAUUGAAAAAUUUAAUGAACUUUUUUUAUUUAUUUUACAUUAAUUUAUGAAAUAUUGAUCCAUUUUUUAUGAUUAAAAGAUUAAAUUACCUUAGGGAUAACAGCGUAAUUUUUUCAAAGAGUUCUUAUCGAAGAAAAGGAUUGCGACCUCGAUGUUGGAUUAAAAAUAAUUUUUGGUGUAGAAGCUAAAUAAAUUAGGUCUGUUCGACCUUUAAAAUUUUACAUGAUCUGA